rnacentral:rRNA from 1 species
UACGUAGGGAGCGAGCGUUGUCCGGAAUUACUGGGUGUAAAGGGAGCGUAGGCGGGACUGCAAGUUGGGUGUCAAAUCUACCGGCUCAACCGGUAGCCGCACUCAAAACUGCAGUUCUUGAGUGAAGUAGAGGCAGGCGGAAUUCCUAGUGUAGCGGUGAAAUGCGUAGAUAUUAGGAGGAACACCAGUGGCGAAGGCGGCCUGCUGGGCUUUUACUGACGCUGAGGCUCAAAAGUGUGGGGAGCAAACAGG